rnacentral:rRNA from 1 species
CAGCAGCCGCGGUAAACGUAGGGUGCAAGCGUUAAUCGGAAUUACUGGGCGUAAAGGGCUCGCAGGCGGUUUCUUAAGUCUGAUGUGAAAGCCCACGGCUCAACCGUGGAGGGUCAUUGGAAACUGUCAAACUUGAGUGCAGGAGAGAAAAGUGGAAUUCCUAGUGUAGCGGUGCAAUGCGUAGAGAUUAGGAGGAACACCAGUGGCGAAGGCGGCUUUUUGGCCUGUAACUGACACUGAGGCGCGAAAGCGUGGGGAGCAAACAGGAUUAGAUACCCCCGUAGUCCCUGUCUCUUAUACA